rnacentral:ribozyme from 1 species
UGCCCAGCAGCUCCUAUCCCUACCUCCUCGUGGUACUGGCCGGGGUACGAGUAACCUGAGGGCAGAUCGGGUAACCAACCCUGGGAAGG